rnacentral:lncRNA from 1 species
GUUGAUCGUGUCAGCAAGAACAAAACCCUAAUCAUCGGACGCCUCUUCUAUCUCCUUAUAUAAAGACAUCAUCCUCUGAUACCUCUCAAAAUAAACCCAAAACCUUGAAUUCGGAGUAGUUCUCUAUGGUCAUCUUUUCUUCGUCUGUCCGAUUCUUAUCAAUGUGUUGUUGUAGUAGUCGUCUAGAUCUUAUGAUGUAGGUCUGAUAGCUUUAGCUUAGAGUUUUGCUGUUUAAUUAUGUUGAUGAUGAUAAAUCCAAAGGCUUGUUUCUCAAACAUUCGCAGUGGCCGCCUAAGAGCUUUCGCCUUUCGCCAGGCUUGAGAGUUGAUGCUGCUUUAUCCUUCCUUGGAUGUCUGAAACUUUUGAAAUCUUGCUUCCAUUGUCAUUGUUUUCUCAGCUAGGGUUUUAGAUUUGGGACCGAGUUUAACAAUGUCUCAUUAGCAGAAUUGAUUUCUCUUAGUGCUUGAUAGGAUUUAACAAAGUCCCUUAUAUCUUAAUCCAUCUGUCACUUUGUCAGCAGUCUUAAUUUGGUUUCUUGCUGAUCAUUAUAAGAUGGGAAACUCGUCACUGUUUUAUUUUUUUUGGUCGAUGAUGAUAAACAUUAAGGCUUGUUUCUCAAAACAUUCGCAGUGGCCGCCUAAGGCUUUCGCCUUUCGCCGGGCUUGAGAGCUUAUGAUGUUCUUAUCCUUCCUUGGAUGUCUGAGACCACGAUUUUAGAUUUGGUUUUAAUUUUUUGAUUUUGUUGUUGGUUUACGGUUGAUGAGGAUAAAACCAAGGCUUGUUUCUCAAAACAUUCGCAGUGGCCGCCUAAAGCUUUCGCCUUUCGCCAGGCUUGAGAGCUAAUGCAGCUUUUAUCCUUCCUUGGAUGUCUGAAACCGAUCUUUAUGUACAUGUUUUAAAGUUUAUGUGUGCUGAAAAGAUCAAUGAUGAUAAAUAUUAAGGCUUGUUUCUCAAAACAUUCGCAGUGGCCGCCUAAAGCUUUCGCCUUUCGCCGGGCUUGAGAGCUAAUGCAGCUUUUAUCCUUCCUUGGAUGUCUGAGAUCUUUAUUAACUCUAUUGUUUAAUUUGCACUUGCUGUUCUUGUAUGAUCUUUUCUAUUUUGUCUGUUUUGAAUUUUGCAGGUAAAUUCUGGACAAUGGUGCUAUAGGUUCGGGCUAUUGGAUGAAGAUUUUUCUUGUAAUUUUAGUAUAAUUGUAAUGAGCCGUGUAUUAUUGUUAUUGGGCGAAUAGAUUUGUACAUUGAUUCAUUUAUUAAUGAUAAGUUUCUGUAAUUUAACAAAAUCUAAUAAUCAAUAAUUAAAUUUAAUUCUUUGCGUCAUAUCUAAGUUUGCGAAAACCUAUAGUGUGAAAAAUCAAAAUGAUAUCAACUGUAAGCUUGAUGUAAAACAUAAAUUCUUAGAUAUUUGCAAUUGUAAAAAAAGUCGAAUUAAACUCGGGAGAUUGAUAAGCAAUAGAUAUAUUAAAACGUUGUAACGAAUUGAACCGGAUCUAAUUGUCUUGGUUAUCCAGCCGCCGGGGGUUUAAUAAGGCGAAUUAAAAACCCGCGGAACAAGUCGGAAGGUUAGUCAUCUCAAGAUAUAAGAUGAUGAUAUAGAGCGAGAUCAAGAAAUAGAGAGACCAAACAAACAAAGCGACUUGAGUAUGGUUUCCCGUAGAGGUCCCUCCAAUACAGGGGCGAUUGUCUGUAUCCUCACAGAUAGAUUCAAGGUUCCGAACAAUUGGGUUUCGCAUAUAUCAUUUGCUACUAUACUUGGUUUUGCUGGUCUCGUAUUGGCCCUUAAGGACGGUCGAUUCCGCAACCUCAAACUCUUCUCCGCUAGAGAUGAAGACUCCGGAGACGAUUCUGUUCUCGUACCUGGCCUUCAAAAUCUCGGGAAUAAUUGUUUCCUCAACGUGAUCUUACAGGUAGUGCUUCGUAUUACUGACAUUUCCAUGGGUUCCUCGUUUGAGUUUGAUUCUAAUCCUUUUGCACGAUUUGGAUUUGUGAAUUUGACCUUUCCAGGCUCUGGCCAGCUGCAAAGAUUUCCGGAGCUUUCUUCAAUGGGUUAUAGAGGAUGCGAGAGACACGGUAGCAGGAGAACUGGACCAACAGUUUCCUCUUACUUUUGCUCUAUCUGCCUUGUUACAAGGUAAAAAACUAGUCCAUUUCUUCUAUGUCAGUGUCAGUGUGUGUGUCAAAAUUGGUAAUGUUGUUUACAGUAAUCCUUUUUGUUAAUUGUUACGAGCAGAGCUCUGUGUAGUUGGAAGAAGACGAUCUGUAUCUAACCCUCGUGAAGUUAUGCUGGCUUUGACUGAUUAUACCCGAAAUUUCAAUUUGACAAGCCAACAGGUUUCAUUUCUUCUAUUAGUACAAAGGAUACCUCAGUUGGUCGUUGGUCUUCUAUGAGCUAAUGAUAUUGUUGAUACAUAGGAUGCUGCAGAAGCUCUUCUUCAUCUUAUAUCUUCUUUGCAAGAAGAGAUUGUAUUUUGUUACCGUCCCAUCCAAAGUUGUAAUCUAUCAGAUGUACUCUUUUCUCGCAACUUGAGAAUGCUUGCACCUAGUGAAGGCCUCCAUGGUUUGUUGGAGCUUAAGAGAUGGCAUAAACAUUUGCGUGGACCAUUUGAUGGUAUUCUUGGUAGUACGUUGAUGUGUCGAACUUGUUCCUCUCAGGUACUUUGGAUUAUAUUUCUCGAUCCAACCAGUUUAUUGGCUCUUGCUAUUGUCCCCAUUUGAUUUUCUUGCUUUUCGCAGAUUUCAUUGGAGUUUCAGUUUUUUCAUACUCUGCCUCUUUCUCCUUUACUCCAUAGUGGUGGUUCCAACAUUGUAUGUUACGCAAGGUUCAUUCUCUUAUUGCUAUAUUAGUUUACUUUUGCAAAAAAUUGAAACUUCUAAAGAAAUAAAACAUUUCUCAAGAGACUUUACCUUUCUGGUUGCUCUUAGAUGUUUGGAUGCACUUUGGAGAAUUGCAUGAAGAAGUUUCUAGAUACUGAGAAAGUUGAAAACUUCUUCUGCCAUAGAUGCUGGCAUGGUGCUGCAGGGAAAUAUUUAUCUGUGAUAGGAGCAGCUGAGGUAAUUAAAUUUCUGAGCUUUAAUCGGUAUUGUACCUUUCCUUUGUACUUGCUUUACAUCUCUUAUCUGACCCGUGUAUACUUGAAUUGGUUUCAAUCAGACAGAUAUAGAAAAACUCAGGAGCUGUGCGGUAGAUGAACAGUGUGACUGUAAAACUUCUCUUCUUCUUGAAAGAAUGCCUUGGUCAAAUAGCUAUUCCCAUAUAUUGAAGCAGUUAAUCAUCUCCCGUUUCCCAAAGGUAUUUACUUAUUUAUUACUCAAUGAAGCUAUAAAGUUUGAAACCCGAGAAAGUUAAAUUUAGUAUAGUGACUUUCUCUAGCUAAAUUGUUACAGCUUCUAUGCAUUCAAGUGCAACGCGCUUCAUUUAACAUGUAUGGAGAAUCCGUCAAACUAUCGGUAGAGAUUUGUUACUCUCUUUCCUGUCUACAUUACAUGUCCCAGAUCCUAGUUACAGUUCGUUCUAAUAUCAAUUUAUCUGUAUAGGGACAUAUUACCUUCCCACUCGUCUUGGACCUCUCCUUGUUCAAACCAUCUCCAAUAGGAUUAAACACAGAAGCAGGGAUUCAGAUGUCGUCAAAGAACCAAAAGCCAGAAGCAUCAAGAAGCUGCGACCUGUACAGGCUUGUAACAGUGGUUGAACAUUUUGGUAGAACCGGAAGCGGGCAUUAUACAGUUUAUAGAAGUGUGAGAGUUGCAUCACAAGAGGAAGAAGAAGAAGAAUGUGAGGAAUUGAGCUGGUUUAGUAUAUCUGAUUCAGAAGUUUGCAGAGUUUCAGAGAGUGAUGUUCUUGGUGCUGAAGCUAGCUUGCUCUUCUAUGAGAGGCUUCAAUAAAGACAGGAGAUAAAUCAGAGCCUGGUUGGUUAUUUCAUUGGAUUGAAUGAUUGAAUUUUGGUGUGUGUGUUUUUGAACUUUUACACGUUCGGUAGUAGAAGUCAAGAUGUAUCUCUUAUCUGACCCGUGUAUACUAUAAUCAUCACUGCAGCCAAACACUCCUUUAGUUCCCUGAUUGUAUUCUAAUUUUGAAGUGAAUCCAGACAGUCCCAAGCUUCCUCCAUAUAAUCAUCUCUUCUUCUUGCUCCUUUUUCAAUCAAAUUAUUGCUACAUUUCUUCUGCUUAUUUUAAGCCUCAUGUCCAACAACUAAAAAUAUGGAUCACAAAAGAUAAGAAAACGAAGAACAUGAAAGGAAAGAAAUCGAGGAACAUGAAAGAGAGCUUCAUGGUUAGUUAUUUACCAAUGACAAUUGAUUUCGGUUCGGUUUAUAUGGUUUUGAAAUUAUUAUUGAUUUCGGUUCCGUUUAAAUUAGAAUUAAUAAGGUUUUGAGAGAAAAGAAAAACUCACACGCGAUGGGUUUUUAAGAAUUCAGCGAGUUUGUUUCACCAUAAGCGAUUUUGGGGGUUAUAGCACACAGGAAUCGUAGACACUCGCGCAACGCGCGUUUGGUGAGAGUGGGUGAGAAAUAGAGCGUUCUGAUUGGCUAAAAAGAAUGAAAUAGUAGUGGUAUAGCUCCUUGCUUCCUCCUAAUAUUAUGAACUUUUCGUCUUCUUCUCUCAUUUGAGUUACUAUGUCUCUGCUAAACGAAGAUUUUCCUCUUCCGUGGCUCAUGGCAAGCGAUCUUCGAGAAGAUAGCUCAAGAUAGAGCUCUCAUUCUCCUCACAAGUUCUCAAGACCAUCUCACUUAUUACCAAGCCAAGGCUCUCUCGGAGCCGCGCAUGAGCGUAACCUCACUUUCACUCUGUUUUUCUACCACUUCACUUUUCGUGUGCUCAAGUGCGACGAAUCGCUUAGGGAGUUUCUUGGUUUAAUGAUGAAUUGCCUUGGAUUAGAAGCAAUGCUCUCAAGGUACUCAUUACCAUAUUCCCCCACCAUUGUGAUAGAUUAAGUAAUCUUUUCUGAUAGUUGAUUACUGAAGUCAAACCUCUCUUCAUAGUAUGGACUUGAUUAUGUAGAUCAUGGUAAAUAGUGAAUUGUUUGUUUGGUGUAUGGUCUAAUUCAGAGUUCUAAAUGAUGGGAGCUGUUGUUAUUUGAUGAUACUAAGUUUCUGAACUAGAUUUGUUGGUAGCAACAUUUUUCUCGACUAGAUGCUAUUUAACGUUUCCUUUUUGAUUCUUCUCUUUUUUUGUGCUCCUUAUGAUUGAAUAGUUUUUCUUUAUAUAUCUUUAGUGAUACAAAAGCUCAGACGCUAGUUUCUUUGCUAUAUAUUACUAUGAUGGGUUAGACAUACUUUCAAGGAUCUCUGGGUAUGUUUGGAAUUGAAUGAUCCAUUAUGUGGAAAUAUACUCAAAAGUGAGCUCAGUUAUGAUUCAGUUAUGUGUAACUCUAAAUCAAGCUGGAGUUAAACUUUUGUCGUAUUUAAGAAUGUCAGCUAACUGAAACAGCAUUGAAAACUUGUUGGUAUGAUCCUAUGUUAAAUUAAUUUUAUAUUACAUACGGUUCGUUAUCUUUCUCUAUUCCGGACUUCCUAUCACCAUAUUCUUGAUAAAUGACCUCUUUUAAGUUUUUCAAAAUUCUUUGUAGUAAUAAUCUGGUUGGUUGCAAACAAUCGCUUACUUGAGUCUUUUUUUUUUGAAGUUUUGUCGAACUCCCACCUCCUAGAGAAGUGUAUCUUUUGUUUAUUAAACUUGUUUCAUUAGUACUGUGUGAACUGGCUGUAUUAAGUUUCUCAUAACUCUGUAUCUUCUUUGCUUGUUGCAGCUUUUGGCUCAAAGUGCCCAAGAUUCCACAUGUCUUACUUUGUGUGUGAAGCUGAAGGAUCUACUAACCAUAUGUUGCAUGUCUCAACAGUUAACAAUCAAACAUACUUCGAUUAUGAACAAAAUGGUGAGUUUUUCUGUUGCUUUCAUGUUUAUGUUCAUUCCAGAGUUUAGUUCAUUGACCUCUAGUCUAGGGAAAUGGAAGGGAUUCAACAAACCUGCAGCAGUUAUAGAUAACAAGAGUACUUACGGUGGUACCUAAACAAGAUGUGUUUAGAUACUUUUGUGUCCUUAGUUGUUUCGUACAAAUAUUUAAUUUUAGGUUGAAAAUUUCAGUGGUAUGCAAUAUUAUUGACAGCAAUCCUUAAUGAACACAGAUACUAUAGCAUAUCGUGUUCUGCAGAGCACACGCAUGGGAAAAUAUGUGGCUUCCUGGAAGAGUAGAAAUUGGAAAGAGAGUAAACAGCGACAGAAGGUGUAGCAGACACAUCAAAGAGUAUAUUUAUAUUUACACACUGAAGACUUACAUGUACAUCUUUAUAUUUUGAGUAGAGACAAAUUCCUCUUUGUAUGUCAAAAGGAUCUUCAGAUCCUAUAAAACUUGUUUACUAUUUACCUUUCCUGUCAAUAUAAACAACAAGCCGAAAGAGUUUAUGUAACAAUUUGUUAUAUCAGAAAGGAUUUUUUCUAAAAUAAAGGAUUCCAGAUGUUUUGAGACUUUUUGUUAUACUUGGAAUGUAUUGAUUUGUUAUACCUGUGGAGUAGUUAUUGUUCAUGGGUUUCAAUGCUUUUUAAGCUAUAUUUUCUCUUCUAAAGGCUCCAUUUCCUGCAGAUCUUUUACUACAGCACCGAAGCUUACACUGUCUCCAUUAGUAAACUUUCGAGAUAAAGAUAAACCAAAAUCGAAUGGUCCCCGUGACUCAGCCUGCAUUUAAGAAAAUCUGAUGUCAAAUAUUCAAAAUCCAUAUGGUAAACAUCUCAACUUAUUGGCUCAGCUCCUGUAGUUAAAACGUGAGGUUUCCAUCAGGUACAUAUAUGCUUUAGAGAAAUGUGAAGCAAAUACCAGACAAUAGGAGGAAUUUUUUUUUUUAAAACACUCACGUACCCACUUGAUUCCUGAAAAUCCGAGGCUGCUGUCCUGAUCAAACACCAUGGAACCAAAUACUGGUUUUGCAGGUUUCGAUUCAUCUUUCUGUUGCUCCUUCUCGGCUUUUCCACUUACCUACCAAAUAUUCGAAUACCAUCAUCAUGAGUUGCAAGUUCUAAACUUCUGACAAUGGU